ACGCUCGACACCUACGGGGCAGCAGUGGGGAAUAUUGCACAAUGGGGGAAACCCUGAUGCAGCGACGCCGCGUGAAGGAAGAAGUAUCUCGGUAUGUAAACUUCUAUCAGCAGGGAAGAAAAUGACGGUACCUGACUAAGAAGCCCCGGCUAACUACGUGCCAGCAGCAGCGGUAAUCUGAGCGGGCUGGCAAGGC
rnacentral:rRNA from 1 species